ensembl:lncRNA
AUUGAUAGUAGCAAUUUGGAAUGGUAGGGUUGAAUUCAGUCCUCUAAUAGAAUUUGCUUUCAAUCAAGAAUAAAGGCUCAUCUUGGUAAAUUCAAAAGCUGUAACUGUGGAUCCUGGGGAUGCAGUGAUCUAGGAAAAACUCCAGAAGACAGGGGUGAUUUAGCAGAAGUUGUAAAUAGGCAAGAGGGUCAUGGAUCUCUGUCAUUGAAAGUGGUCAUGCAUUUUAGUGUUUCUUUUGUCCUCAUUGGUUAGAUUAUCACUAAAUUGCAGAAGCUGUGUUUCAUUUCAUUCCUGGUCCUCUCCUUUGCUCCCCUUCCUUCAGCAGUUUGAUUCAACAUCAGCUCAGUCCAUAGUUACUAACCUCUCUCAUGCAUGCACUCCAUCACAUGUCCCAAUCAAAAAAUAACAAAUGCUGAGUGACUGAUGAGCAGCCUCGGCUGUGUCCUGACAGCUGCUCUCUGUCCCUCUAGUGCCCCAGGAGGACCUGGUGGAGGAACUGCCCCAGGGCGGCGAGGAGGAAGAGCCUCUGAGUAUUUUGAAGGCACACGGAGUAGUCUACGAACAUGGUAAAUAUUCAGGGAUCAUCCCUGUGCUGAGGUGCAAUCUAGAUGGAGGUGUGGCUCUCCUGAUGGCUCUAGUUGGAGAGGCGCCCUGAUCCUGGGUCCCUAAAGGGGCUGAGGGAUGUGGGUGCAGAGGAGAGACUGAUCUCCCAGGAUGAACAAUAACUGUGUCCUAUGGUCCCUGGAAACAACUGCAUCAUUUAGAUGCUGUGGGUUUGCAUGAAUCAGGGUUGGGGUUCCAUGUGUGAGACCAUGUGAUGUGAUUUUGAAUCUCUCUGUGUGUGUAUGUAUGUGUCUCUGUGUGUCCUCAGAGAUGUUACCCUCUUAGCACAAGUCAAGUGUGAACUUUCUAAACACUUCUCAUCACCACUGCACACUGGCUAUACAUUAUGUUGUUCUUUCCUCAGCUCAGCCAUUCCUCAAGUUUGGUUAAUAUUCAUUUUCCUCAGAUGGAGAUGGUACUGGACAAAAUGGCCCAAGUUCUUGACCUCCUAAAUAGAAAAAUCAAAUUGAAUACUUAGGUGUGGUCCCAAUGUGGUUGCUCUGGACACCUGACCUUCACUUGACACUCAGCCCUGGGAUCCUCAGUCAUGGCACGUGGGGAUCUCUCCAUCUAUGAGCCAUGCUGGGAGCUACUGGCAGCUCCAGAGGUCCAGACUGUGCCCUUUAUUAUAAGGGGAGCUCAGUUGUCACUUCCCUGGUGGCUCAGAUGGUAAAGAGUCUGCCUACAAUGUGGGACACCCAAGUUUGAUCCCUGGGUUGGAUAGAUCCUCUGGAGAAGGAAAUGGCAACCCACUCCAGUACUCUUGCCUGGAAAAUCCCAUGGAGGGAGUAACAUGGUAGGCCAUAGUCUAUGGGGUCGCAAAGUGUUGGACAUAACUGAGUGACUCCACUUUCACUUCUCACUUUUCAGUGGUCACAGAAACCAGGGGAACCAAAGUUAUGUCAGACUCUUUGCGACCCCCUGGAUGGUAGCCUACCAGGCUCUGUGGUCCAUGGGAUUUUCCAGGCAAGAAUACUGGAGUGGACUGCCAUUUCUUUCUCCAGGGGAUCUUCCUAACCCAGGGAUCAAACUGGGUCUCCUGCAUUGCAGACAGACGCUUUACCGUCUGAGCCACUAGGGAAGCCCCAAAGAUGGAUUAACAGACAAUUUUGGCAGAGUCUGUAGUGUGAAAUGUACCUCGGGACUGACAUCCUCCUGGUCAAAUCAGAUUCUGAGAAUUAUGUGCCCUUGUGUAGACAAUGUAGGUCAUAACUCUUGGUGUUAGUGUCAUUGCCUAAACAAGGAAUAAAGCAGAUUAUCAGGAAGAUAUUUUAUUGCACUGGGUCACAUUAAAAUAAGCCUUACAUUGAUUAAACCCUGUAGCAUACACUCAAGGGAAGGUGUCAAAUAGAUAUCACAGUGGAACUUGUUAGUUAGCCUAGUGAGCAUGACUGUUUAUGUAAAUUUUCCUACCCAGCUGGGUGUGAGAUAGUCAGCAUUCAUCCCAUGCUUCCUCUCUAUAAUGAACUGUCCCACUAAAUGUAUGACUUCUGUGAGUAUGGACAGCCACUGACUGGAUGGAUAUGCAAAUAUUGUUCGGAAGAUGAAGACUGGGAAAGAAUAUCACAUGACUGACUAUAGCUAUUUGGAUAGGUAAGAUUGAAUACAGUCCUCUAACAGAGUUUGCUUUUAAUCAAGAACAAAUUCUCCUAGAAGACUUGGUAAGUACAUAGCUGUACCUGUGGAUCCUGGGGAGGCAGUGAUCUAUAAGAAAUCCAGAAGACAGGUGUGACUUACCAGAAGCUCUAAAGAAGCAGGAGGGCUGUGGGCCUCUGUCAUUGAAUGCUGGAAUGCAGUUUAGUGUUCUUUAUUCCCCAUCGGGUAGGUUAUCACUAGCUAUAAUGCAGAACUGUGUUUCAUUUCUUUCCUGCUUCUCUCCUUUGCUCUCCUUCAUCCAGCACAGAGAAUGAUUCAACAGCAACUCAGUCCAUAGUUGCUAACCUCCCUCAUGCAUACACUCCACCCCAUGUUCUCAUUAAAAAACAAAAGCGCUGAGUGAUUCGUGAGCAGCCUCACCAGUGUCCUGACAGCUACUCUAUGUCCCUCUAGCUCCCUAGGAAGACCAGUGAGGUGGACAAACCGUGCUUUUAUCAUAAUCAACUGUCCCACUAAACAUAUAGCCCCUGUGAGUAUCAACAGCCACUGACUCAGUGGACAUGCACACAGUGUAUAGAAACAAAUAUUGACAGAAAAAUAUGAUAUUAUUCAUAGCAGCUGUAUUUAAAUAGUAGGAUUCAGUGUUUUCAAAUCUUGUAUAUUUGCUUUUCUUUAAGACAAGUGAUUAGUGAAUUAAUAGAAUGGCCCACAAUUAAAUUCAGUCCUCUAACAGUUUACUUUUAAUCAAGUACAAAGUCUCAUAGGAAACAUGAUGAAGAGAGUAGCAGCAACUGUGAAUCUCGGAGGAAGAGUGAUCUGGGAAAAAUCAAGAGACAGUGGCGAUUUAGCAGGAGCUCAAAAUGAGCAGGAGGAGUCAUGAAUCUCUUUCAGUGAACAGUACAUGCACUUUAGAGUUUUCCUUUUUAUAGUUGAAUAUUUCCUUUUGAUUAGGUUUCUCUUAGCUAGAGGGCAAAGAUCUGUUUUCAUUUCCUUCCUCCUCUCCUUUGCUUUCCUUCCUCCUCCAAAGAGGAUGGAUGAACACAAGUUCAGCCCAUGCUUACUAACCUCUCAUAUCCAUACACACCACCCCAUGUUCACACAAAUAAAAAAACACUUUUUUCUUUUUUUCCCGAUUCCUGUGUAGCCUCACUACUCUUCUAACAGCUACUCUGUGUCCCUCUAGAUUUCACUGAGGACCUGACAGUCAACCCAGCUUGUGACAGGAUAGAAGAGACUCCAUGUAACUCCAAGGUGGCCUUUUCAAUAUGUGAAACUGACUGCUUCUUGGAGAGCUUUAGCAGCAGUGAUACAGACGAUAAUGCAGAUUUCGGAAAACUCUUUGCUUGUUUACUGGAGGAAUGUUUUGGGGGAUAUCAAAGAUAACAAAGAAGACUAAGUAAAGCAAGAAUGAACAUGGGACCUGGGGUGAAAAGGCUCUGCUCUGAAUCCAUGAAGACCUGGACCUGGACACCAUCCUGGAUCCCAGAGGGGAUAGAGCCCCCACAGAACCAAGAGCCUCAUCUGGACCAGAUCAAAGGAGGCCUCCCUGCUUCUCUCCUGAGGGCCCUCAUUUAGUACAGCUUCAGUUGUUUUGUUGUAUAGAUUUAGUAUUUAGUUUUAUCUAUAUGUUGUGCAUUUAUCUGUAUGUUCAAUAUUUAUAUGAAAAGUUUUUC